AGGCUUUGAUCCUGGCUCAGGAUGAACGCUAGCGGCAGGCCUAACACAUGCAAGUCGAGGGGUAGCAGGAGGAAGCUUGCUUUCUUGCUGACGACCGGCGCACGGGUGCGUAACACGUAUGCAAUCUGCCCUUAUCAGGAGGAUAGCCCAGAGAAAUCUGGAUUAAUACUCCAUAGUACUAUUGAAUCGCAUGGUUUGAUAGUUAAAGCUCCGGCGGAUAAGGAUGAGCAUGCGUCCCAUUAGCUAGUUGGUGAGGUAACGGCUCACCAAGGCAACGAUGGGUAGGGGUUCUGAGAGGAUGAUCCCCCACACUGGUACUGAGACACGGACCAGACUCUACGGGAGGCAGCAGUGAGGAAUAUUGGGCAAUGGACGGAAGUCUGACCCAGCCAUGCCGCGUGCAGGAAGACUGCCCUAUGGGUUGUAAACUGCUUUUAUAUACCAAGAAACCCUCGGACGUGUCCGAGGCUGACGGUAGUAUAUGAAUAAGGACCGGCUACAUCCGUGC
rnacentral:rRNA from 1 species